GAUGAACGCUGGCGGCGUGCUUAACACAUGCAAGUCGAACGGAAAGGCCCAAGCUUGCUUGGGUACUCGAGUGGCGAACGGGUGAGUAACACGUGGGUGAUCUGCCCUGCACUUCGGGAUAAGCCUGGGAAACUGGGUCUAAUACCGGAUAGGACGAUGGUUUGGAUGCCAUUGUGGAAAGUUUUUUCGGUGUGGGAUGAGCUCGCGGCCUAUCAGCUUGUUGGUGGGGUAAUGGCCUACCAAGGCGUCGACGGGGAGCCGGGCUGUGAGGGGGUACGGCCACAUUGGGACUGAGAUACGGCCCAGACUCCUACGGGAGGCAGCAGUGGGGAAUAUUGCACAAUGGGGGCAAGCCUGAUGCAGCGACGCCGCGUGGGGGAUGACGGCCUUCGGGUUGUAAACUCCUUUCGCUAGGGACGAAGCGUUUUUGUGACGGUACCUGGAGAAGAAGCACCGGCUAACUACGUG
rnacentral:rRNA from 1 species